CUACUUUACCUCAAAAUUCACUUCUGAAGUUGGUUGGAAACCCUAAGCAAGACCAACAAGUGCGAUGGAUUGCCUGAGUAGCGGCGGUGAAGCCGCGCCCUUCAUCCAAGAAACAACGACGCACCCAGCUUGAAAAUGCAGUCAAGCCCGGUCAAUGACAGCGAGCUAGCUAUAUUCAGUCUUAAAAAGACAAAAGAAAUCGAUUUGGCUGAUUGAGCUUGAUUGGAAUGAAGGGUUUCAAAUAAAGUGGUGGAACUUGGCAAAAACUCGCCUUUGGUGGUAUCAUCUUUUAAUGUGUAUGUCACUGGAGGUGGGUUCCAUGGGGUCACGUUUGUGCAACAAAUGGUGCGAUGUUUUGUGGCUAACCGAGGAAAGGUGAACCUGUAGUUUGCAGGUUUCCAAAACUUGUGGUCUGUAGAUUGGACUUUUGAAAGAACCAUUGACGCCAUUGUAGAUGGAGGUCGAACAACAGAAGCCAUUUUAUAUUCCUGCUAGAUGAAGGUCUCCUCUAGGUAUUUUCUUUUUGUGGAUUUAUUAGUGGUUUGUUGAAUACCAAUGUUAAAAUUUUUAUCUUGAUCAAUGUUGCAUAAAAGCAAUUUAAAUUCAUAUCACUUACUUGAAUUUUUAUAGUGAAAGGUUAAUUUGUUGAAAUGUUAAGAAUGGUUAUUUGUAUUUGUUUUAGUUUCAGUUUUUGUUUUCAGUAUUGUUUUUUUCCUGGUGUUUUGGUGCCGGGUUGCGUACUAAAAAAGUCAACAUGGUCAGUAUUUUGUGUUCUCUAAAUUGCUUGUAUAUCCAUACAGUUGUCAGGACAACUUCUGUCAAGACAACAUCAAACUUUUACCCGGAAGCAGCAGUUUGCUUACAAAAGUAUAGACUUUUAUAUGACCAUUUGAAAAGGUAAGAAGUACUCAAACUUUCCUUUUUCUUUUUCAUUUUUUGUU